rnacentral:misc_RNA from 1 species
UCUGCUGCUAUGCCCAGUGAGUU